GUGUGAGAAAAAGAGAGAUAGAUCAGAAUUGACAAUGUACAUAAGCAACAAACACAAGUAUUUAUGGCCCAAAAAUCAAAGUUAAUAUUGUGCAUAAACAUCAAUAUUUAAUAGGGGUGUACUUUUACUAGUUAGUGUAUCCCUAUUAAAUAUGGAUGUGUAUGCAUAACGUUAGCAUUGAUUUUUGGACUAUAUAUACAUGUGUUUGUUGCUUAUGUACAACUUCAAUUUUGAUCUAUCUCUCUUUCUCUAAUACU
rnacentral:pre_miRNA from 1 species